UUUCUUUGCAAAUUAAGAUUAGAAUUGCUCUUUUCGAAGGUGGCAUUGUCGCUUACUACAUGUGCUGAUUAAUCCUUAAACACUUUUCAAGGAUCUUUUAGCUGCCAAAGAUUCCAAAAAGCGUUUCUGGGUUUUGUUUCAUUUUCCUGUUCCCCUUAAGAUUGUUUCUUGUCAUCUUCAAAAACUUAGCUAAAGCUCAAAAUUUAAUUUCAC
rnacentral:misc_RNA from 1 species